ACUCCUGCGGGAGGCAGCAGUGGGGAAUUUUGGACAAUGGGCGAAAGCCUGAUCCAGCCAUGCCGCGUGCAGGAUGAAGGCCUUCGGGUUGUAAACUGCUUUUGUACGGAACGAAACGGCCUUUUCUAAUAAAGAGGGCUAAUGACGGUACCGUAAGAAUAAGCACCGGCUAACUACGUGCCAGCAGCCGCGGUAAUACGUAGGGUGCAAGCGUUAAUCGGAAUUACUGGGCGUAAAGCGUGCGCAGGCGGUUAUGUAAGACAGUUGUGAAAUCCCCGGGCUCAACCUGGGAACUGCAUCUGUGACUGCAUAGCUAGAGUACGGUAGAGGGGGAUGGAAUUCCGCGUGUAGCAGUGAAAUGCGUAGAUAUGCGGAGGAACACCGAUGGCGAAGGCAAUCCCCUGGACCUGUACUGACGCUCAUGCACGAAAGCGUGGGGAGCAAACAGGAUUAGAAACCCGAGUAGUCCCAUGAU
rnacentral:rRNA from 1 species